GUAGUUGCAGGCCUCCCGUCAGCAGCGGCGCUACUGGCUAUGUCCGGUUACUGGGAAGGUGCAGUUGUACUCCCCGGCAGCGAAAGGGCUUCCAAUCUUCUCCCUGGACACAGCGCUGGUCUGGAAAUCUGCACGGGAAAAACCUUCUUUUCCAGAAUGGAUGCACCAAUGUCUUCUGAUCAUGAAAUCCACUCUGGGCUGGAAGAACAUGUUGAAGUUGAAGUGUCUGUUUUCCAGAUAGAGAGGGAGGAGCCUGAAGAUGCAAUCAUACGAAUUAGACUGGGUAAUCGAUUACGGCAACGAAGGCGACGGCAACGUCUUCGUGCUGCUAGAGCUGGCGCUGAGAGAGCACAGCCACUACGAGUAGCAUGUCCAUUACAGACUAUUGAGAGUGAAACUGAGCAACCAGAAAAUCAUACAGAGAUCUCACAGUUAAUUCAAGAAGAACAACAGGAAAAUCUUCCUAAUGGUCACAUUGCAGAAUCUUCUGCAGUUGAGGAUCCUGAUGAACAACUCGCAAGAAAUAGAGAAGCUGCUAAAUUAAACGAGUUUGAGCGAAUCCUAAGACGUAGAGAGACUAUAAGAUUAAGCCAACAAAGACGAAGAGAGCGUCUUCGUAACAUGAGUCGAAGUCUUGAGGAAUCUCCUGAUCCACUUGCAAGGUGUCGAAAUAUGAUCCUGGGAUUUAGGGUCUCUGAGCUUCAGGUACUCUUGGGGUUUGCAGGACGCAACAAAAGUGGGCUGAAACAUGAAUUGGUCUCCCGUGCAUUACAGUUGGUAAGGAACAACUGUUCCUCGGAGAUACUAAAGAAGAUCCAAGACUUGCAUGCUCAUCGCUACAGUACAAGGUCCUCAAACGCACAGUGUCAGCAACUUCCGCCUGCUCCAACAUUUCCUCUGCAUUCUUCAGAGGCAGCUUUGAAUGCCAGAACGUCUGUUCCAAUUUGUCACACUGGAAAAGCUGAUACAAAAUCUAAAGUGAGAUUAACAAAAUUGCCUUUCUACGAAAUACUAGAUGAUCUGAUGAAACCUACAGAUCUAGUUCCAACCACCAGUGAAAGGAUUCAAGAGAAUCAGUUCAGUUUUACAUUAACUGAUAAACAGAGAGAACAGAUUAUCUCUGGAUGUUCAAAGAAUGGCGCGCAGUCAAUUCAAGUGCAGUUAAGGAUUUGCCACUCAGAUACAGAAUUUAUUCAAGAAGACCAGUAUCCUCCCUACCUGUCAAUAAAAGUAAACUCAAGGGUGUGUCAUUUUACGAGUUACUUCUCAUCAAAUAAACCUGGAGUAGAACCAAAAAGGCCUUGUCGACCCAUUGAUAUCACGCCGCUAUUAAAUUUGACAUCUCGUGGAGCUAAUUACUUAAAUAUAUUUUGGGGACAUUUUGCCAAGCGAUAUUCUGUGGUUUUGUACCUAGUAAGACAGCACGUAGUGGCAGAAUUGCUACAUAAGCUUCAAGCAAAUGAAACUAGAGCUUCGGAAAUUUCCAGAGAAUUAAUUCGAAAAAAGCUGCGACUGGAACCUGACAAUGAUGUAACCACCACUGGCCUCCGCGUUUCCCUUAUGUGUAGUCUUGGUAAGAUGCGGCUUUCGGUGCCCUGUCGUGGCAUUACUUGCACACAUUUACAGUGUUUUGAUGCAGCCCUUUAUAUUCAGAUGAAUGAGAAAAAGCCGACAUGGAUGUGUCCUGUAUGUGACAAGCCAGCCCCUUAUGAACUGUUAUUUGUAGACCAGCUGUUUUUAGAUAUUCUGAAGGAGUGUGAAGAUGCCACUGAGGUUCAGUUUAAGGAUGAUGGCAGUUGGAUUCCAAUAAAACCAGAUAAGCAGCCUCAGAAGAACUCUGGUCCUCAAUAUUCAAUAGUGGAAUUAGAAGCUUCUCUCUCCACCGCCACCCCCCUGCCAAUUUAUGCAUUGUAAUCCAUUUCCAUUCUGCUCCUGCCAAAAUGGACUAGUAUUUCUGAAAUCCAAGAUCCAACGACUGUGUUGUACAGGAAUCCUGGGUCUGAUAUUGGGAGGUGUUUUUGUUUUUGCAAUUGUCUAUCUGUCACCAUUGCAAUUCAAUUUUACUUGAGAUAAUACCACCAAUUACUUGAAGUCACUUAACUCCUAACAAUGCUUCCCUCAUGGAAUGAAUUACAGCCUGUAAGAAAACAGCUUGGAAGAUUAGAGGCAGUGCACUGCAGUAGUUUUAACUGUACCUGUCCAGGUGAACAAGCUAGAGUUUCAAAAAAUUUGGAUUGCUGUGCUUUUUUUUAUUAAGGAACAUAUUCACGUUCAUUUUUUUUUGCAAGGGUCUGAUCAAAAAAUAUAUGAGCAUAAAGAGGAUCAUAAUUAAACGAAAGUAAAAUACUGCAGAUGCUGGAAAUCUAACUUUUUUUUAAAAUGGAAAGUGUCAGCAUUGCCGGCAGUAUUUGGGGUGAGAGCAACACUUAAUUUCAAGGUGAAUGUCUUCAAAAAAAAUAAAAUUAUAAAAUAUCAAAAAAAGGUGAAUAGAAGUAGAAAUGUGACAAAAGGGAAGGUCCGGGCUUGUUAGAGGAUGGAAGAAACUAAGUAACAAAGACGUCGUCAAACAAAAGAUAAAGGGAGCAGUAAUGUAAAACAAAGAACUGCAGAUGCUGGAGAUCUGAAACAAACAAAAAUAGAAGUCACUAGACCAAUGCUGAAGAGCACCUGAAGAGAAAGCAGCAACAGUUUCAAAUCCAGUGAGCCUUGAAUAGAGGUAGGCUAAUGGUUGCAGUAAGGAGACAAAACAAUGGUGUAGCUUUGGUGUUAAUUGCAGAAUAGUGAAUAGUUCUCUGAAAGCAAAAACAAGAUACAGACUGGCACUUUUCAAGAGAGAAAGCAAUUGAAAUGUCGGACAUUGUGUUCAACCCAACAUGAACUCUGCAUUGAGUCCAUCAGGCUGUAAAGGACCUAAUCAGAAAAUGAAGAGCUGUUUUCACAAGCUUGCUUUGAUCUUCACUGGAAUAUCGUAGCAGCCCAAAGACAGAAGUAUGAACAUGAGAGCAGGGUGGUGAAUUAAAAUGACACUGGCAGCAAUCAGUUCAGUGAUCCUGCAAACAGGAAAGGUGACAUGGAUGUUAUUGACCUGACUAUAGAUUGUUGAUUUCAAUGGCUAAUUGCUCAAAAUUGAAUGUAACUGUGAAUGCUGGAGAGAAUUCACUAUCAACUGUGCAGGACACAAUAUGUAAAAACAUGUUGAAAGAAGUCUACCUCUAGCAUUGCAGGUUUUAGUUACUUUGAGCCCUUCCAGCUACGUCUACCUCCUGAAAGAACUGGUACGAUAGAGGAUUGGAGCAAUGACACUUCUGAGGAGUUCUUAUGGAUGUGAAGGACCAAUGUAUCAUUCUUGAAAUAUUUGAAGAAAUGAAGACCGCACUAAGUUAUAGAGGAUUGUUGAUAAAUUCUGCUUUGUUGACUGCUGAGUAGGCAUUGAUCCCUAGUCACAUCCCAUAAUCUUAAUGAUACACAGGAAAUGGGGAGAGGAGAAAUUCAUAGUCUGUUUGACUAGUAUCUUUUUGAUCUCUCUUUGUUUCCAGUACAUAUAUACAUGUCAAAGAAGCCUGAAAGUUUAUAUGCUGAUUUAUAAGAGGUAUAAUAAUCUUAUAGAUUAGAUGUAUGUUAGCCCAACUCCAUCUCACUGCUUGUUUUUUUUAAUUCUUGCAACAAAUAUAUCGUUAAUAUUUGUGGAAGCAGUUUUUGCUAUUGCUUGCAUAUCUAAUUUCUACCCAAUUUUCCCCCACUUUUUCACUAAUGGGAAUAAUGAGAAGUAUAUAGCAAAGUUAAAGUGCAUUCUCAACAGGAGUGGCUAGCUCAGAAGAACCUUUUUGCAGUAUAUUUCUCUUCUCUCUUAGAUCAUGGCAGGAGAAUGCCUGUGAAAAGCAAAACUGCAAAAAUGUCAGUAUCUAGAGAUAACUAUGUAAUCCAUUUGGGUUUUUUUUUCUGAAAAUAAGAUUUGGAUCUUGAGGCUCAGUUGGUUUAGAGAGUAGGACUUUUGACAACUACUGUGGCCAUAUUUAUUUGUUUCAGUUUAUUUUUCUAUUUUUUUCCAUGUCUAGCAGUGCCUGCAUUAAAGCUUUUGAAAUCAAGCAGGUCCAAUAGUUGGAUUGUGCCACUGCUGUUUCUUUACCUUAAACCAAGAGGGACUAGAACUAUGCAGGGAAAUUUCCCAGUUUUUUUUUUAAAUCCUUCCUGAGACUAAAAGAUUUGUUUGGAAAUUCAAAUGAAAUUAUAGUUGAGAAUGGCAUUCAACCUAGUUGAGCCCAGUGCUGUGAUGCUGUAGCUACUGAGAUGCCACUUGAUAUUUUUCUGCUUCCUUUUAAAGUUAUUGCUGUAAAAAGUUGUACAUAUCUGCAUAUAGUUUAUUUAGUUUAGUUUAUUUUAACACUUAAGUUGGUCAUGGUGUUGAAACACAUAAUCUCAAAUUAUGUAAACCGAAAAAGUUAAAGCACUGGGCAGAUGAGUGGAAUUUUGUUUUUGUUAUAGCCCUGCCACCAAUUUCUGAUAAUUAGUAAGUAGUGUGAUGAGAAAAUAUUGUGCAUUUAUAACAAUUCCAAAUUUCCCCAACACAUGCCACAUAUUGUUUCUGCCAUUAAUUUAAGAUAGGUUGUGUAAAGAUUUUGAAGGAGAAUAACAUGGGUUAAUGCCAACUUUUGCCUGCUCCAGUUCCUUCAUAGUGCUGCAGUCUGAUACUUCUGAUUCAAACAUCAAUUUUCUGUGUUGAAAGCACAAAUGGAUUUGUGAUGUAUUUAUUGCUUUCACAUUUUCACUACAUCUGAUUAUUGAAAUGAAAAUAUUGUCCAAUGUGAUGUUUUCACACCAUGAUUUCCAAAUCUAUAUUAGUGUUUAUGCUCUAGACUCUGACAUUAAAGUAAGGAUUUGGAUCAGUAACAUUGGCUGUAUUUUAUGCUUAUUCUAAACAUUUGCUGGGUAGGAAGUAAUCUAAAUUAAAUAAAGUCAUGUGAAAGUUUUUGACAUACGACAGCCAAUCAAACUCCUGUUCAUUUUCCUCAGCAGUCACUAUACCUGAUCGUUCUAUGAAAAGAAAAUUACAUCUUCAUGGUUUAGAAGAAGUACUUUCUGAGCAAUUAUUUUUUAAAAAUACAAAAUAUAAGAUUUAAUCAUAAAACCAAGCAUCAUAUCCAUGUCUGUAGGGAGUUCUACACAACUGUCAAAGGUUUGGAAUUUGUUGUGGAAUGAAAUAAGUAAGACUUAAGGGAAGUUUUCAUUUAUCUGUUACCUGAAAUUUUAAAUAGAAUAAAAUUUCACAAAAAGGUUGAAUGAAGAUUUUUAGACCCAAAUCUUUAGAAUAAGGGUUGCAAAUUUUCUGUGGACAUGUUAACACUGUGUUCAAGCAUUUGUCCAGAAAAGCUACUAGAUUGACCUUGACAGAAUGUUGUGCACUUUUGAAUAUUUAAAUGGAAUGCAGCUUCCAAUGACCAGAUGCGGUUUUACUUUACAAAUUUAGUUUUCUUUUUUAAAUACUUCUGCUUAUACAAAUGUCUGUCUAAAUGCUUAAAGUGAGAUGAAGUAAAAUAGAUAUUGGCUUCUAUUUUAAAAGUGCCCCUUUUAUUCACACCAUAGUUUAAAAUUGAACAAAAAGUCAUUGAUACUACUUAUCAUCUUAAAAAGCACCUUGUUAAGCAUGUUUCCUGCUCUUGUUUUUAGUUAAGCAGCCUUCAAAAAUGCUCUCAUGUAAUGUAGAUAAAUAUCAGGUUAUUUAAUAUUUAAUAAACAUUUAAACUUACAUCUCACUAUUCCUUUCAAAAGAAGUGAAAAUGUUGCCGUCAUUCUUUCCUUCAAGCCUGAACCUGGUUUCAACCAAAUAGCUAACUUUCCUUCACUGGUUCAAUUCUUCUGCUCAUGGUUUUCCACAUAUCUCCUGAUAACCGAAACAGGAAUACAAUUCUUUUAGCUAUGACUAGUUUUUAUUACUUUGUGAGAUUCGAGACAGCAUAUUUUAGUAGGAAUGUGGCAUUGUCGGUUAUUGCAGCCAAACCUAAACAUGUCCUCAUUUAAUGUCUACGUAUGUGAAAUCUUCAGCAAAUUUCACUGGAUAGGUAAUUAAGGAUUAAAAAUGUUUUUCCUCCUACCUAAGCUAGUGGGCGCUGUCAGUUGUAAUGACACGACUUCUAUUUGUAAAAUAUAAUAUAGUUAUUCUUGACCCAUGAUCUGUGAAACUGAUGCAGUUAUUCACUUUACAAUUAGGGGAACCUAUUUGCGUGGAUGGGUAGAGACAAUAACUUAUCCCCUCUUUUUGGAAAAUACUUUGUUUCUUUGACAGUGACAUGAAUGUAGAAAACCAUAUUGAGAUAUUACUACUGAUCUCAUUAUUUCAGCAUUUAUGUUAAAAUAAUUGCAGUCAUGCCAUUGGACAUGAGAAACAUUAAGAACAGUAUUUCAAAAGAAAACACGUUGCCUAUGUAAUUGUUGAGGACCCUCCACUCCUGGUGUUUUUCUUGUUUUCUCUCCUUUAUUUCAAGGAAUUUCCUAGCUCUAAUUUUAUAUGCAUAGUUUUUGAGCAU